rnacentral:rRNA from 1 species
UAUUUAUUUAAGGUCUAACCUGCCCACUGAAAAAUUAAAUGGCCGCAGUAUUUUAACUGUGCAAAGGUAGCAUAAUCAUUAGUCUUUUAAUUGAAGGCUUGUAUGAAUGGUUGGACGAGAUAUAUACUGUCUCAUAUAAAAUUAAUAUUAUAAUUUUAUUUUUUAGUUAAAAAGCUAAAAUUUUGUUGAAAGACGAGAAGACCCUAUAGAUCUUUAUAUAUAAAUUAUUUAUUAUUUUUUAGUUGUUAAUUUUAUUAAUUAAUUUAUAUAUUUUGUUGGGGUGACAUUAAAAUUUAUAUAACUUUUAAUUAUAGUUUUAACAUUUAUUUAUGAAAUCUUGAUCCAUUAUUAGUGAUUAUAAAAUUAAGUUACCUUAGGGAUAACAGCGUAAUUUUUUUGGAGAGUUCUUAUCAAUAAAAAAGGUUGCGACCUCGAUGUUGGAUUAAAAUUAAUGCUAAAUGUAGCAGUUUAGUUAUUUAAGUCUGUUCGACUUUUAAUAUUUUACAUGAUCU